rnacentral:rRNA from 1 species
AACGAACGCUGGCGGCAUGCCUAACACAUGCAAGUCGAACGAAGGCUUCGGCCUUAGUGGCGCACAGGUGCGUAACGCGUGGGAAUCUGCCCCUCGGUUCGGAAUAACAGUUAGAAAUGACUGCUAAUACCGGAUGAUGACUUCGGUCCAAAGAUUUAUCGCCGGGGGAUGAGCCCGAGUAAGAUUUGGUGGUUGGUGGGGUAAAGGCCUACCAAGCCGACGAUCUUUAGCUGGUCUGAGAGGAUGAUCAGCCGCACUGGGACUGAGACACGGCCCAGACUCCUACGGGAGGCAGCAGUGGGGAAUAUGGGACAAUGGGCGAAAGCCUGAUCCAGCAAUGCCGCGUGAGUGAUGAAGGCCUUAGGGUUGUAAAGCUCUUUUACCAGGGAUGAUAAUUACAGUACCUGGAGAAUAAGCUCCGGCUAACUCCGUGCCAGCCGCCGCAGUAA